UAAUUAGAAAUAAUCAUUCAGUUUUCAAUACAAAUCUAACUCGGAUUAGUUUGUAAUAUGGUAUCAAGAGUGGGCGCAUCUUGUGAUCAUAAUUUUUCUUCCGCAACAAACUCUGUCAGCCAUGGAGCUUGACCAGACGACGACGCAACUCCACCGACGACAGCUUCACGUUCCAGCAAAUUCCAGAGGACCAAAUCACCUCCAGGUCGACGACCUUCGAUUACAACUUCUCCACAGUCGAUUUCAUCGCCCGCACCGAUCGUGAUUUCUUCCACGACGCGUCCGGGUCAUCCGCGAGGUCUGUUCUUGCGGAUCCAUCCGCGUUCUGUACAGUCCGCGUCGCUUCAUCCGAGUCUCUCCACAGUCAGUGUUUCAUCCGCGUAUCUUGCGGGUUCAUCUGCCUGUUUUGGACACUUGCGAUCUCUGCACACUCGCGAUUCUGCAAUCUCCGAUUUCACAACGCGUCCGUCUUCACAAGGCGAUCUGCAAUCUCUGAUUUCACAACACAUCUGUUUUCACAACGCGAUUCUGUUUUCACAUUUUUGCCCAACACGUCAGGUCUGCACAUUUCCAUUUCAUCCGCGUCCCAUUCUGCAAUUGAUUUCUGCCGGUUCUGCAAAUUGAUUUCUGCACAUUUCUGAUUUUCGAUUUCUGCACAUUUCCGAUUUUCGUCUGUUUCAUCUCUGAUUCCCGUUCACAACAACGACGAUGACGUCCAGAAAAGUAGCAAUUUCAUCUCUGGUUCUACAAUCGAUUCCUGAAAUUGAUUUCUGCCGAACACGCAAUUGAUUUCACAUCCGCAUCACUGCCAAUCAAUUGACCAGAAAACCGACGAUCACUGCGUUCUUGCUCCAGCGUCCAUGGCUUUCCGCGAAGAAGUCACACCCGACUCGGCAACGGCUCACGCAAAGAUCAUCAAGCUCAAGUCAAUGCGCUGAGCGACUCUCUGGUGGAAAUUUUUUCGUUUGGCAAGCCCAAGUCCUCACCUUUCUGCGCGGAUAUGGGUUACUAUCAUACGUCCCUGGCGAAAUCAACAUCGACGGCGACUAUUGGAAUAUAUAUGAUAUAAAGAAUUAUACAAAAGUUGUAACAAAUAUAACAAACCCCACUCACAUAUUUGUGGGUUUGUUAUACUCAAUUGUAUAUAAAUACCACCUCAUAAUAAUGGCACAAUGAAAAGAUUGUUUGCUCAAAACUCUACCUCUACUCAUACUCCUCAAAUCGUUGGUUCUUCAUGGCUUUCUUUGGUUCAUCGUCAUUCUCCAUAGAUUACCAAUCCAACAUGGUAUCAUCCGCCGAUAUCGAUACUGUGGCUCCAUCAAACACAACUCCGCUGCAUUUAUCGAUACCGAUCGAUCAUCCUUCAAUGAUGAUCCCGGCAGUUACUGAUCCAAAUGGAUCCAAUCAAGCACUGCUCCCUCAACAAAUAUUGACUGGAUUUCAAUCUUUUGGAUCCAUCC
rnacentral:lncRNA from 1 species